rnacentral:rRNA from 1 species
AUUGAACGCUGGCGGCAUGCCUUACACAUGCAAGUCGAACGGCAGCACGGGUGCUUGCACCUGGUGGCGAGUGGCGAACGGGUGAGUAAUACAUCGGAACAUGUCCUGUAGUGGGGGAUAGCCCGGCGAAAGCCGGAUUAAUACCGCAUACGAUCCACGGAUGAAAGCGGGGGACCUUCGGGCCUCGCGCUAUAGGGUUGGCCGAUGGCUGAUUAGCUAGUUGGUGGGGUAAAGGCCUACCAAGGCGACGAUCAGUAGCUGGUCUGAGAGGACGACCAGCCACACUGGGACUGAGACACGGCCCAGACUCCUACGGGAGGCAGCAGUGGGGAAUUUUGGACAAUGGGCGAAAGCCUGAUCCAGCAAUGCCGCGUGUGUGAGGAAGGCCUUCGGGUUGUAAAGCACUUUUGUCCGGAAAGAAAUCCUUGACUCUAAUACAGUCGGGGGAUGACGGUACCGGAAGAAUAAGCACCGGCUAACUACGUG